rnacentral:rRNA from 1 species
UCAGACGAUGCGUCAUGCAUAUCAAUAAGCGGAGGAAAAGAAACUAACAAGGAUUCCCUUAGUAACGGCGAGUGAAGCGGGAAGAGCUCAAAUUUGAAAUCUUCAAGGUUUUACCUUGACGAAUUGUAGUUUAAAGAAGUGUUUUUCUGUUGAAGUUUUGGUAAAAGUUCUUUGGAAAUAGGACAUCAUAGAGGGUGAGAAUCCCGUAUUUGACCAUUAUUUUCAGCUGUGUGAUACACUUUCAAAGAGUCGGAUUGUUUGGGAAUGCAGUCCAAAAUGGGUGGUAAAUUUCAUCUAAAGCUAAAUAUUGGCGAGAGGACCGAUAGCGAACAAGUACCGUGAGGGAAAGAUGAAAAGAACUUUGAAAAGAGAGUUAAACAGUACGUGAAAUUGUCAAAAGGGAAGCGUUUGACACCAGUGUUGUUUUCUCGAAAAUCAAUUAAAAAGAGUUGGAUUUAUGUGUUGUAUUGACCUUAACAGCUUGCUUCACUCUUUUCCUGCUUUUUUUAAUGCACUUUUCGUUUAACAAGUCAACAGUCAGUUUCUUUUGUUGUAAAAGGGUCAUUGGAAGGUGGCUUUCUCUUCGGAGAAAGUGUUUAUAGCCUUUGAUCUCUGCAAUCGGAGAGACUGAGGUCUGCAGCGUAGAUCCUUCGGGGUUAGAUACAUUUGUGCUAAGCUACAGCUUUUCAUAGACAACUUGUUGACUAUGUUUAGUCUUGUAACUUACCCGCUUAUGCUAUUUUACCUACGCUUAGGAUGUUGAUAUGCAUGACUGAUAU